AGAGAUGUGUGAUGACGCAUAUCAAUAAGCGGAGGAAAAGAAACUAACAAGGAUUCCCUUAGUAACGGCGAGUGAAGCGGGAAGAGCUCAAAUUUGAAAUCUUCAAGGUUCUACCUUGACGAAUUGUAGUUUAUAAGAAGUGUUUUCUGUUAGUAGAGUGGCAAAAGUUCUUUGGAAUAGGACAUCAUAGAGGGUGAGAAUCCCGUAUUUGGUCAUUCUUUCUAGCUUUGUGAUACACUUUCAACGAGUCGGAUUGUUUGGGAAUGCAGUCCAAAAUGGGUGGUAAAUUUCAUCUAAAGCUAAAUAUUGGCGAGAGACCGAUAGCGAACAAGUACCGUGAGGGAAGGAUGAAAAGAACUUUGAAAAGAGAGUUAAACAGUACGUGAAAUUGUCAAAAGGGAAGCGUUUGACACCAGUGUUGUUUUUCCGAGAAAUCAAUUACGAAUGUUUUAUUUUUGAGAGUUAUGACUUCAUCGGCUUGCUUCCUCUCUUUAUGAAACUUUCUUAAUGCACUUUUCGGUUAACAAGUCAACAUCAAUUUCUUUUGUAGUAAAAGGGUAUGAGGAAGGUGGCUUUCUUUUCGGAGAAAGUGUUUAUAGCCUUGUGCCUCUGCAAUCGGAGAGAUUGAGGUCUGCAGCGUAGAUCCUUCGGGGUUAGAUACAUUUGUGCUAAGUUAUAGCUUUUCAUAGACAACUUGUUGACUAUGUUAAGUCUUGUAGCUUACUCGCUUAUGCUAUUUUACCUACGCUUAGGAUGUUGACAGCAGUAUAGACUGU
rnacentral:rRNA from 1 species